GACGAACGCUGGCGGCGUGGAUUAGGCAUGCAAGUCGAACGGUAUCAUCCUUUCGGGGGUGAGAGAGUGGCGAACUGGUGAGUAACACGUAGGUUAUCUACCCUCAAGACGGGGACAACCCAGGGAAACUUGGGCUAAUACCGGAUGUGAGCAACUUUUAGUUGUUUGAAAGGUGGCGUAAGCUGUCGCUUGGGGAUGAGCCUGCGUCCUAUUAGUUAGUUGGUGAGGUAACGGCUCACCUAGGCAAUGAUAGGUAGGCGGCCUUAACGGGUGGUCGCCCACACUGGGAUUGAGAUACGGCCCAGACUCCUACGGGAGGCAGCAGUCGAGAAUAGUCUACAAUGGUCGGAAGACUGAUAGUGCGACGCCGCGUGAACGAUGAAUCCCUUCGGGGUGUAAAGUUCUUUUAUAUGUGAGCAGUGCUUCUUAUAUUAACAGUAUGGGGAGAGAGAUAUUAGCAUAUGAAUAAGCAACGGCUAACUCCGUGCCAGCAGCCGGGU
rnacentral:rRNA from 1 species